CGUCCCAGUUCGGAUUGCAGGCUGCAACCCGCCUGCAUGAAGCUGGAAUCGCUAGUAAUCGCGGAUCAGAAUGCCGCGGUGAAUACGUUCCCGGGUCUUGUACACACCGCCCGUCACACCAUGGGAGUCGGUAACGCCCGAAGUCAGUGACCCAACCGUAAGGAGGGAGCUGCCGAAGGCGGGACUGGUAACUGGGGUGAAGUCGUAACAAGGUAAC
rnacentral:rRNA from 1 species